rnacentral:rRNA from 1 species
CCUACGGGCGGCAGCAGUGGGGAAUAUUGGACAAUGGGGGCAACCCUGAUCCAGCCAUGCCGCGUGUGUGAAGAAGGCCCUCGGGUUGUAAAGCACUUUCAGUGAGGAAGAACGCCUGGUGGUUAAUACCCAUCAGGAAAGACAUCACUCACAGAAGAAGCACCGGCUAACUCCGUGCCAGCAGCCGCGGUAAUACGGAGGGUGCGAGCGUUAAUCGGAAUUACUGGGCGUAAAGCGCGCGUAGGUGGCUUGAUAAGCCGGUUGUGAAAGCCCCGGGCUCAACCUGGGAACGGCAUCCGGAACUGUCAAGCUAGAGUGCAGGAGAGGAAGGUAGAACUCCCGGUGUAGCGGUGAAAUGCGUAGAGAUCGGGAGGAAUACCAGUGGCGAAGGCGGCCUUCUGGACUGACACUGACACUGAGGUGCGAAAGCGUGGGUAGCAAACAGGAUUAGAUACCCUAGUAGUC